CCAUCCACAAAGUGACCUUUCAUAUAUAAAGCCGAUAUAGGGACUCUUGCCACAGCAGGAGCACUUGUCAGCAGGGAUCCUAUAAAUGCAUUUGCCAGGAAAAAACACAGAAUUUGCAUUUUUACAGAGAAUCUUUAGUUUUUACUACUGCCGCCUGGGCUGACAGCCCAAGCCCCAGUCGUCCGGGGCUGACCACUCGAGCCCCCACGGCCCAUUUCAUUAUAAUCGUGGAUUUUUAUGUUUUUUUAUUGGAGAAUUUUGGGUUUUUUAAUCACAGAAACCUAGGAUCCCUGCUCAUCAGCCAGAUGUCUCUAUGCAGGUUUUCGGUGGAGUGGAGGGCCUUACUCCAACCAUCUGUACCAGGUUGUUGUUCGCCUACCAACAGUCAAUACAGAACAUGAGCAUGUGUUCUUGGGACAGGAUUGAAACAAGGCACCUGAACACAUAAGGACAUGUACCUGUCGGACAAUCAAAGGACUUGCUCCAUUCCUAUGGACCCCAAAUCAGAAUCCAACAUAUAUAUUUUAUACUAAUAACAUUUUAUCAGAGUAUUAAUUAAAUGUUAACUUGCUAACUUAAGACCAUGGGCGGAGACAUUGUGUAACCUUUUAACUAUUGUGCUAUCUUGUCUUGCUGCAAAACCUAUCCCGGGGUGUGGAACUGCCUACCCCGUCACCUUCCCCCGCCCAUGGAAAAUCUAUAUCUUCUAUUGUAAUCAAUUAAUUGACAGUGUCUUUGAGCCUAAUAAGCCAGGUGACACUCCGCCAGCGCUGUGUGUAAUAAACCCCUAUGCUUUGACCACUA